GUUGGUUUUUUUUGGUGAAUUUAUGGAGGAUUUGGGAGCCUUGAAGAAGAACUUGCCCAUUUGCCACCACUGAAGUUCUGGAUGAAGAGAACAAACCCUGGUGUACCAGAAAUCUGGAGAUAAAGCUCAGCAAAGCAGUGUGAUACCUGAGGACUCAGAUUUUGCUCCAGAUAUAUGAGUAAAACAGUUGAGAGAUUACUCAUUUGGAUAUUAUGUACACUAUCUGAAAAGCACAAAAUGGGUGACAAGCACCGACCCUCAGGGAGGGGUGUACACAGGCAGAGAAUUGUCAUGCGUCCUCACCCUCUUUAAGCUGGGGAGCGCAGUCAGGGAGAAUCAAACUCACGUCUCUCCAAAAUAAGGCGAGCUGAGGUAACGCGAGGCCACAUGUCCUAUGUUACUUAUUACAAUUUUGUCGUAUCUGGAAUUUUUUUUUUUUUUUGGUCACAUUGAAGCAAUUUAUAAUGUUUCUUACCCAACAUGCUUGCAAGCUAGUGCAUACUUCACCAUCUUCAACUUAAUUGUAUAGAAUAAGUCCACAACCAAACACAUCUUUGAGAAAUUGUGAAAAGGAGUUAGGUAGUCUGUGUCAUAUAUUGCCAAUAAUGCUAUUUGUACAGAAUAAUGGUACACAAUUUAUUCUCAAAUAGGUUAUAGCUUUUGUUUACUGAUUGAUUUGUUUUUGAGAUUCAUAGCUUUUUAUUAUUCUGUAAACUAU